CGCGGGGUGGAGCAGCCCGGUAGCUCGUUGGGCUCAUAUCCCAAAGGCCGUCAGUUCGAAUCUGACCCCCGCAA
rnacentral:tRNA from 1 species